rnacentral:rRNA from 1 species
AUAGGAAACAGAAAGGCAUCUUUUUGUUUUUAAAAGACCUUCUUCGGAGGGUAUGCUUAAAGAGGGGCUUGCGCCACAUUAGUUAGUUGGUGAGGUAAAGGCUUACCAAGAUUAUGAUGUGUAGCUGGACUGAGAGGUUGAACAGCCACAUUGGGACUGAGACACGGCCCAAACUCCUACGGGAGGCAGCAGUAGGGAAUUUUCGGCAAUGGAGGAAACUCUGACCGAGCGACGCCGCGUGAACGAUGAAGUAUUUCGGUAUGUAAAGUUCUUUUAUUGAAGAAGAAAAAAUAGUGGAAAAACUAUCUUGACGUUAUUCAAUGAAUAAGCCCCGGCUAACUAUGUGCCAGCAGCCGCGGUAAGACAUAGGGGGCGAGCGUUAUCCGGAAUUAUUGGGCGUAAAGGGUGCGUAGGCGGUUAGAUAAGUCUAUAAUUUAAUUUCAGUGCUUAACGCUGUCUUGUUAUAGAAACUGUCUUGACUAGAGUGAGAUAGAGGCAAGCGGAAUUCCAUGUGUAGCGGUAAAAUGUGUAAAUAUAUGGAGGAACACCAGAAGCGUAGGCGGCUUGCUGGGUCUUUACUGACGCUGAGGCACGAAAGCGUGGGGAGCAAACAGGAUUAGAUACCCUGGUAGUCCACGCUGUAAACGAUGAGUACUAAGUGUCGGGGUAACUCGGUACUGAAGUUAACACAUUAAGUACUCCGCCUGAGUAGUACGUACGCAAGUAUGAAACUUAAAGGAAUUGACGGGACUCCGCACAAGCGGUGGAUCAUGUUGUUUAAUUCGAAGAUACACGAAAAACCUUACCAGGUCUUGACAUACUCUGCAAAGCUAUAGAAAUAUAGUGGAGGUUAUCAGGGAUACAGGUGGUGCAUGGUUGUCGUCAGUUCGUGUCGUGAGAUGUUAGGUUAAGUCCUAAAACGAACGCAACCCCUGUCGCUAGUUGCCAGCACGUAAUGGUGGGGACUUUAGCGAGACUGCCAAUUAAACAUUGGAGGAAGGUGGGGAUAACGUCAAAUCAUCAUGCCCCUUAUGAUCUGGGCUACAAACGUGAUACAAUGGCUAUUACAAAGAGUAGCUGAAACGCGAGUUUUUAGCCAAUCUCAAAAAGGUAGUCUCAGUACGGAUUGAAGUCUGCAACUCGACUUCAUGAAGCUGGAAUCGCUAGUAAUCGCGAAUCAGCAUGUCGCGGUGAAUACGUUCU